AACGAACGCUGGCGGCAUGCCUAACACAUGCAAGUCGAACGAGACCUUCGGGUCUAGUGGCGCACGGGUGCGUAACGCGUGGUAACCUGCCCUUAGGUUCGGAAUAACUCCCCGAAAGGGGUGCUAAUACCGGAUAAUGUCUUCGGACCAAAGAUUUAUCGCCUUUGGAUGGGCCCGCGUUGGAUUAGCUAGUUGGUAGGGUAAAAGCCUACCAAGGCGACGAUCCAUAGCUGGUCUGAGAGGAUGAUCAGCCACACUGGGACUGAGACACGGCCCAGACUCCUACGGGAGGCAGCAGUGGGGAAUAUUAGACAAUGGGCGAAAGCCUGAUCCAGCAAUGCCGCGUGAGUGAUGAAGGCCUUAGGGUUGUAAAGCUCUUUUACCCGGGAUGAUAAUGACAGUACCGGGAGAAUAAGCUCCGGCUAACUCCGUG
rnacentral:rRNA from 1 species